rnacentral:misc_RNA from 1 species
GUGACUCUCUGCGUUUAACUGUUGAGGGACCUCACAAUAAAUACACAUACAAUGCAUUGAUUCCUUUGCAAGUCACAGAUUCACACCAUUAAACAAAUCCCAACCUAUUCUUGAGCUUCUUAUCCCUGUACCGGUAAUGUGAGAAAAAAGGCGACUUUUUUUUCUUGAUUCUCCAAUGGGUUGUUGUGUAAGCACCCAUGGAACUUCAACAAAGCACCAGAAUUUCCAAGUGGUAUCUGAAUCUUUGAAGCCCAAUUCAACUUGUGAAAGUAGAGCCCCACCCCCUUCUAUUGAAGAAGAAACAGUUAAGGAGGUCCUCUCUGAAACUCCCAAACUCAAGCCGCCACCAUCAGCAGUACCCCAACUUCUACAACCGAUCAAGAAUCCACAACUGGAACUCCAUCACCAAGAAACUAACAGCAAGAAAAUCCACAUUAACCCACCAUUUCCUGAUGAGAAGAUCAAACCAAAUGGUCACAAUAAUGAUGAGUUCAUUUUCAAAGAAAAAGAGAUCUCUGAACAGGAAGUAUCAGAAGUCUGCAGCUUGAGCUUCAGCGAGACUGUGUCAACUACGACCUUCAACAAUGACAAAAGGGAUGAAGAUGACGAUGAUGGCGACGAAGUGAAGCAAAGAGUAAAGAAAUCUCCGGUAGCAAAAUUGACUCUAGGAAACAAGGCAGUUUCAGGCGAUUUUGGCCCCAGGCGAGACAGGGUUCUGGGAAAGUCACCCAACCGUAGAAUCGAGCAGUCACCGGACAAAAUAAACAAUGCCGGUCGUGGAGGUGGAGGUUCAGUGAGGUUGGUUCAAAGCAGGGAGUCCGGUACUUAUCAGGCGGGAAGACAAGGGUUGAAGCCCGACGCAAAUAGGAGAGACCCAGGUGAGAUCUCCGGGAGGAGGUUUGGGUCUCCGGCCAACAAUAGAUCUAUAAUGGGUCAUAGCCCGUCGACAAGGAGGACGAACGGGUCUCCGAGUCGGGCAAGAACUGAUCUGACCCAGAGCAGUGGCGGUGGCGGUGGCGGUGUUAUGGAGUGUAAGUGGCCAAGCACUUCAGAUACUAGUGGAACUUCAACAACUGAGUCCCUUGAAAACCCACUUGUUUCCCUUGAAUGUUUCAUCUUUCUAUGAAGAGGCACAAAAUUCUCGCCGGAAUUACUCCUCCGGUGGGUUUGUUGGUGCAUUUUGUGAAACAUUAUAUUUUUGAGAUUUAUUUUUCUUAUGUGAAUAUUAGUUUGGGUAAAUUUCGAAAUGAAAACUAAGGAGAUAUUAU